rnacentral:tRNA from 1 species
UUCCUGGUGGUCCAGUGGUUAAGACUCUGUGCUCCCAGUGCAGGGGGCUUAGGUUCAAUCCCUGGUCAGGGAA